ensembl:lncRNA novel transcript
ACGCGUACCGCCCCGUUCCCCCACCGUUUCCGACCCGGCAGCUUCUGGAAAACAGCGCCCUUGAUCCUCCCGGGCAGGAAGAAGGGCCAAGGAAGGGGUUAGAAGGGAAAGAGUUAGGAUUUCCCAAGAACCAGCCCUGAAGGCCUGGAGGUGGGGGAUUUCGCUUCUUAGUUGGACGGGAGCCCCUUGGGUUCCUCACUUCUUAGCCCGCGCCCUGCGGGAGGAGCGACUCUGCUUGUCCCUCAAGAUGCUUGUGAAGGUGCCCGCUGCGCUCUGACACCGGCGAUCUCUUAGAAUGAAGACCAUCCCUGGGCAAAAUUGCGAAGAAGUGGAAGGAAAGAAGAGAAAGAAGAAGAAAGGAAUAUAGCAAGUGAAUCAGACAAGAGGCCAAAAGAAAGAUGACUUUAAAACAUCAUGGGCUGUGUAUAGCAAAGACAAUCCUAAGCAGAAAGAAUAAAGCUGGAGGCAUCACGCUACCUGACUUCAAACUAUACUACAGGGCUACAGUAACCAAAACAGCAUGGCACUGUUUCAAAAACAGACACAUAGACCAAUGGAACAGAAUACAGAACUCAGAAAUAAGGCCACACAUCUACAAGCAUCUGAUCUUUGACAAAUCUGACAAAAAUAAGCAAUUGGGAAAGGAUUCCCUAUUCAAUAAAUGGUGCUGGAAGAGCUGCCUAGCCAUAUGCAGAAAAUUGAAAUGGAACCCCUUCCUUACGUGUUAUAUAAAAAUUAACUCAAGAUGGUUUAAAGACUUAAGUGUAAAUCCCAAAAGUACAAAAACCCUAGAAGAAAAUCUGGGCAAUACCAUUCAGGAAAUAGGAAUGGGUAAAAAUUUCAUGAUGAAAAUGUCAAAAGCAAAUGCAACAAAAGCAAAUAUUGACAAAUGGGAUAUAAUUAAACUGAAGAGCUUCUGCACAGCAAAAGAAACUAUCAUCAGAGCAAACAGACAACCUGCAGAAUGGGAGAAAAUUUUUGCAAUCUAUCCAUCUGAUGAAAGUCUAAUGUCCAGAAUCUACAAGGAACUUAAACAAAUUUACAAGAAAAAAACAAACAGCCCCAUUAAAAAGUGAGCAAAGACAUAAACAGUCACUUCUCAAAAGAAGACAUUUAUGCAGCCAAGGAGCAUAUGAAGAAGAGCUCCACAUCACUGAUCAUUAGAGAAAUGCAAAUCAAAACCACAGUGAGAUACCAAAUCACACCAGCCAGAAAAAAAUCAAGAAACAACAGAUGCUGGCAAAGCUGUGGAAAAAUAGGAAUGCUUUUGCACUGUUGGGAGGAAGGUAAAUUAGUUCAACCAUUGUGGAAGACAGUGUGGUGAUUCCUCAAAGACCUAGAACCAGAAAUAUCAUUUGACCCAGCAAAUCCAUUAUUAAAUAUAUACCUAAAGGAAUAUAAAUCAUUUUGUUAUAAAGAUACAUGCAUACAUAUGUUCACUGCAGCACUAUUCACAGUAGCAAAGACAUGGAAUCAACCCAAAUGUCCAUUAAUGAUAGACUUCAUAAAGAAAAUGUGGUACAUAUACACCACGGAAUACUAUGCAGCAAUAAAAAGGAAUGAGAUCAUGUCCUUUGCAGGGACAUGGAUGGAGCUGGAAGCCAUUAUCCUCAGCAAACUAAUGCAGGAACAGAAAACCAAACACUGCAUGUUCUCACUUAUAAGUGGAAGCUGAACAAUGAGAACACAUGGACACAGAGAGAGGCACAACAUACACCCUAUGGACUGUUUGGGGGUGUGUGGUGGGGGAAAGGAGAGCAUCAGGAAAAAUAGCUAAUGCAUGCUGGGAUUAAUACUUAGGUGAUUGGUUGAUAGAUGCAGUAAGUCACCAUGGCACACGUUUACCUAUGUAACAAACCUGCACAUCCUGCACACGUACCCCACAAUGUAAAAUGAAAUUAAAAAGCAACAAUAAACAAACAGAAUCAUGGGCUGAUAAUACAUCGUUAAUUUUUCUUAGUCCACAAAUAAUGUGAAAUAUUAUUCUGAAAGUAGAAGCCAGUUAGAGUCCAUGUCAUCAUUUUAGUUAAUUGCUCAUUUACUUAAGUAUUCUAUUCAGACAUUCAUACUUAUAGAUAAAAAAGUAUUUUACAGCAUUUGUCUAGUUAGUAAAUAUAAUAGUUGGAAGGGGAUACUUAUAAAAGUAUAACUCCCAGAGUAAUUUUUCAGCAACAUGAAAUGAAAUGGACUUUUAUCCUUGUCUUAUUUCAACUAGAAACAUGUUGAAUCACAUCAUUGUUUAGGGUUUUGCUUUCUUUAAUUCUUGUAAACUAAUUAAGUAUCAAACAAAAUAUUAUAUAUAUAUAUGGAAUGAAAGCUUUUGGCAUGACGCAUUUAUAGGUAAGGACAUCUUCAGUUUUUGAAGGAAAAGGCCUGCUGAUGCUUUUAUAAAGGGACUUAGAGCGUUUUGUUUUAGUGCACACAUACUUGCUCUCACCAUGAGCCUUUGUACCAUUCUCUAAUGCCGUUGCACAUCUGGAUGAUGUGGAGAGUGAUGACAUAUUGAGGACUAUUUUCUGGCUUUCCUUUUUAUAUACCCUUUUUUUUCUUCUUUAAAAAGAACCAUGCAGAUGUAACUGUAAAACCUUUAUUCUAAUGAGAGAGCCGAGAGUUUGGGAGAACCCACCUGGAAAAUCUUAUUUUUUAUCUUUCCUGCUUUCUUUAUAGGGAGCUCACCAAGUUCAUAGGUUAGGGAGAACUUAAAUGAAAUAAAGAACUAAAAGUGGCG